GACGAACGCUGGCGGCGUGCUUAACACAUGCAGGUCGAACGAAAAGAGGGAAAGAGCUUGCUCUUUCCGGAAUUGAGUGGCAAACGGGUGAGUAACACGUAAACAACCUGCCUUCAGGAUGGGGACAACAGACGGAAACGACUGCUAAUACCGAAUAAGUUCCAAGGGCCGCAUGGCCCAUGGAAGAAAAGGUGGCCUCUACCUGUAAGCUAUCGCCUGAAGAGGGGUUUGCGUCUGAUUAGCUGGUUGGAGGGGUAACGGCCCACCAAGGCGACGAUCAGUAGCCGGUCUGAGAGGAUGAACGGCCACACUGGAACUGAGACACGGUCCAGACUCCUACGGGAGGCAGCAGUGGGGAAUCUUCCGCAAUGGGCGAAAGCCUGACGGAGCAACGCCGCGUGAGUGAUGACGGCCUUCGGGUUGUAAAACUCUGUGAUCCGGGACGAAAAGGCAGAGUGCGAAGAACAAACUGCAUUGACGGUACCGGAAAAGCAAGCCACGGCUAACUACGUG
rnacentral:rRNA from 1 species